UACGGAGGAUCCGAGCGUUAUCCGGAUUUAUUGGGUUUAAAGGGUGCGCAGGCGGGGGAUUAAGUCGGCGGUGAAAUUUUGCAGCUCAACUGUAAAAGUGCCUUCGAAACUGGUUUCCUUGAGUGUAGAUGAAGUAGGCGGAAUUUGUGGUGUAGCGGUGAAAUGCAUAGAUAUCACGCAGAACUCCGAUUGCGAAGGCAGCUUACUAAGCUACUACUGACGCUCAGGCACGAAGGCGUGGGGAUCAAACAGGAUUAGAUACCCGUGUAGU
rnacentral:rRNA from 1 species